AAACAAGAUCAAGCUGUCAAUUUUGAAUUAAAGAAGGAUCAUUUGCAAAGAAGCUUGCGAGGAGUUGUCAAAAUUUUGAUUAUAAUGCAGCAUCUUGGUGGAGGCUCUAUGGAACUGAAGCACCAGCUCUACAAAGGAUGGCUGUGAGAAUCCUCUCAUUGACAUCAAGUUCUUCAGUCUGUGAAAGGAAUUGGAGUACCUUCGAAAAUAUACAUACGAAGAAAAGAAAUAGGCUAACUACAGAACGUCUAAACUCUCUUGUGUUCAUAGAAUUCAACUCGAGAAUGAUGGCCAAGAAACAAAUGAUCAAGGAGAAGAAGAUCACUGAUGUCCUCUUAUCCGCUGAAACUACUAAAGCUCAAGGUUUUCUUUUUGAGGGCGGAGAUGAUUAUGCAGAAGCCUUAUGUAUGGAUAAAGAUGAGGAGGAGAUGAAUAGUACAGGGAUGCCAGGGAGUGGCAUUGGAGAAGCAAUGGGAGGCGAUGAACUGCUC